rnacentral:rRNA from 1 species
GUGAGGAAUAUUGGACAAUGGGUUAGCGCCUGAUCCAGCCAUCCCGCGUGAAGGACGACGGCCCUAUGGGUUGUAAACUUCUUUUGUACAGGGAUAAACCUACCCUCGUGAGGGUAGCUGAAGGUACUGUACGAAUAAGCACCGGCUAACUCCGUGCCAGCAGCCGCGGUAAUACGGAGGGUGCAAGCGUUAUCCGGAUUUAUUGGGUUUAAAGGGUCCGUAGGCGGAUGCGUAAGUCAGUGGUGAAAUCUCACAGCUCAACUGUGAAACUGCCAUUGAUACUGCGUGUCUUGAGUGAGGUUGAAGUAGCUGGAAUAAGUAGUGUAGCGGUGAAAUGCAUAGAUAUUACUUAGAACACCAAUUGCGAAGGCAGGUUACUAAGUCUCAACUGACGCUGAUGGACGAAAGCGUGGGGAGCGAACAGGAUUAGAAACCCUAGUAGUCC